UGGGAUCAGUGGCGAACGGGUGAGUAACACGUGAGCAACCUGCCCCUGACUCUGGGAUAAGCGCUGGAAACGGCGUCUAAUACUGGAUAUGUGACGUGAUCGCAUGGUCUGCGUCUGGAAAGAAUUUCGGUUGGGGAUGGGCUCGCGGCCUAUCAGCUUGUUGGUGAGGUAAUGGCUCACCAAGGCGUCGACGGGUAGCCGGCCUGAGAGGGUGACCGGCCACACUGGGACUGAGACACGGCCCAGACUCCUACGGGAGGCAGCAGUGGGGAAUAUUGCACAAUGGGCGCAAGCCUGAUGCAGCAACGCCGCGUGAGGGAUGACGGCCUUCGGGUUGUAAACCUCUUUUAGCAGGGAAGAAGCGAAAGUGACGGUACCUGCAGAAAAAGCGCCGGCUAACUACGUGCCAGCAGCCGCGGUAAUACGUAGGGCGCAAGCGUUAUCCGGAAUUAUUGGGCGUAAAGAGCUCGUAGGCGGUUUGUCGCGUCUGCUGUGAAAUCCGGAGGCUCAACCUCCGGCCUGCAGUGGGUACGGGCAGACUAGAGUGCGGUAGGGGAGAUUGGAAUUCCUGGUGUAGCGGUG
rnacentral:rRNA from 1 species